UGAAACAAAAAGCAAGGUGAAGAUUUCAAGGUUGAAACAUGCAUUCUAGGUGACUCAUCAUCACAUGAUACAUGAACAUGUAUAUUAAACUCUGUCUGUCCAGCAAUCCUCUUCUCCGCUGUCAUGGUUAUCUUCUUCAUCAUUCCUUGCAACAUCUCCAAAGUGUGAUGAUAAAACCUCACAAGCGUCUUCAUCAAUUCUUACGCCUUCUUCCUCAUUCUCUUCUUCUUCUUCUACCUCAGUCCUUUCUUCUUCUUCUUCUUCUUCUUCUUCUUCUUCAACCUCGUUCGUUUCUUCUUCGACCUCAUCAGCAGGAUCAUCAGCAAUAGUUUCACAAUCAUCACCGGGUAUGAGAUUCACGCCCAUCUCUGUUAAUUGCACUCAACCUUAUUUCAUCACCUUCAAAAACCGGUGUAGUUUCACGUUCUCUGGCUCUUCCUCGAUGUAUAGAAACCUUUUGGCGUCUCAUCAUAUAAAGAAGAAUCGAUUUGUGGUUUUACACUCACGAAGAAGAUGAAAUCAAGUUGCAGAGAAUAGAUGAAGAGGUGAAUUCGAUUUGCAGAGUUGGGGAUUUUGUAAAUUAUGUUCUAUUUUUAAAACGACGACGUAAGGAUCUCCGUGAACAUUAGACGAAGAUUUAACACCACAAACAGUUGACCAAAAGUGUAUCUUAUAUGACUAAGUCAAUAUAAGUUUGUGAUUUACUUGGAUUAAUAAAAAAAUUGUAUUUUUUUGGCUAAUUUGUGAAAGUUCGGUAUUUAAAUGACAGUUUUCUCGAACGAAAUAAUAAUAACGAUAUGCAUAUUGUAUGUACCAUAUGCGUAUCCAUGCUUGAAG
rnacentral:lncRNA from 1 species